rnacentral:tRNA from 1 species
GUGGCUUAGUUGGUUAAAGCGCCGGUCUAGCGAAUACGGAGUCGUGGGUUCAAAUCCCACC